rnacentral:rRNA from 1 species
CCUACGGGGGGCUGCAGUGGGGAAUAUUGGACAAUGGGGGCAACCCUGAUCCAGCCAUGCCGCGUGUGUGAAGAAGGCCCUCGGGGUGUAAAGCACUUUCAGUGAGGAAGAACGCCUGGUGGUUAAUACCCAUCAGGAAAGACAUCACUCACAGAAGAAGCACCGGCUAACUCCGUGCCAGCAGCCGCGGUAAUACGGAGGGUGCGAGCGUUAAUCGGAAUUACUGGGCGUAAAGCGCGCGUAGGUGGCUUGAUAAGCCGGUUGUGAAAGCCCCGGGCUCAACCUGGGAACGGCAUCCGGAACUGUCAAGCUAGAGUGCAGGAGAGGAAGGUAGAAUUCCCGGUGUAGCGGUGAAAUGCGUAGAGAUCGGGAGGAAUACCAGUGGCGAAGGCGGCCUUCUGGACUGACACUGACACUGAGGUGCGAAAGCGUGGGUAGCAAACAGGAUUAGAUACCCGAGUAGUC